rnacentral:rRNA from 1 species
UAAAGAAACUUAUGUUUUGCUCUUAGAAGCGUCUAUCUCGUGUAUUGUAGUAGUUAAAGCAAAAGUCUAACUAGCUUUAUAUACGUAGUCGAAACUGAGAGGUUGAUCGACCACAGUGGGCCUGAAGAAAGCCCACGAUGAUUAUUACAGCAGUGAGGAAUAUUGGUCAAUAGCCUAACGGCUGAACCAGCAACUUGGAGGAAUGUAUAGUAAUAGCUGAUUGCGCUAACAAAUAGUUGAUGCAAGAUUGACUCUGUCAAAUAAAAUUCUAGGCAGAAUUAUGAUAAUGACAUUGUCUGCCUAUAUGUCUUGACCAAAUUACGUGCCAGCUGUCGCGGUAAUACGUAGAAGACUAGUGUUAUUCAUCUUUAAUAGGUUUAAAGGGUACCUAGACGGUAAAUCAAGCCUUAGUCGGGACUAAUUUGCUAGAGUUACUUACGAGGGGGUAUUAAAGUACUGAUGGUGUAGAGAUGAAAUUCUGUCAUACCUCUUUUCGAAAGAAAAAUUACGGCACAGGUAUAGGCGAAAGCAUCCCCUUAUGUGAUAACUGACGUUGAGGGACGAAGGCUUUGUGUAGCGAACAGGAUUAGAUACCCCAAUAGUCAAAGCAGAGAAUGAUGAAUGUCAUAGAUUAGAUUCUUAGUUUAUUCUAUAAAUGAAAGUGUAAUGAAAUCAUUAGACCGUUUCUGAAACCAGUAGUGAAGUAUGUUGUUUAAUUUGAUAAUCCGCAAAAAACCUUACCACAAUUUGAAUAUUUAUAUUUACCUUUUUAUUUUGUGUAACGUAAAAAGGUUAUAUAUUUACAAGCGUUGCACGGCUGUCUUCAGUUAAUGUCGCGAGACUUUGGUUAGCUCCAUGAAAUUAACGUAAACCCUUACUUUAUU